UACGUAGGGUGCAAGCGUUGUCCGGAAUUAUUGGGCGUAAAGAGCUCGUAGGCGGUUCGUCGCGUCGGCUGUGAAACCCGGAGCUCAACUCCGGGCCUGCAGUCGAUACGGGCGGACUUGAGUGUUGCAGGGGAGACUGGAAUUCCUGGUGUAGCGGUGAAAUGCGCAGAUAUCAGGAGGAACACCGGUGGCGAAGGCGGGUCUCUGGGCAACUACUGACGCUGAGGAGCGAAAGCGUGGGGAGCGAACAGG
rnacentral:rRNA from 1 species